rnacentral:rRNA from 1 species
AAUCAACGCUGGCGGCGUGCCUAACACAUGCAAGUCGAACGCGAAAGCCCCUUCGGGGGUAAGUAGAGUGGCGUCCGGGUGAGUAACACGUGGGUAAUCUACCUUCGGGUGGGGAAUAAACUCAGGGAAACUUGAGCUAAUACCGCAUAAAGCAGCGGCACCUAAUGGUGAUUAGUUGUUAAAGCGGGGGAUCGCAAGACCUCGCGCCUGAAGAGGAGCCUGCGGCAGAUUAGCUAGNGGUGAGGUAAUGGCUCACCAAGGCAUCGAUCUGUAGCUGGUCUGAGAGGACGGCCAGCCACACUGGCACUGACACACGGGCCAGACUCCUACGGGAGGCAGCAGUGGGGAAUUUUGGGCAAUGGGCGAAAGCCUGACCCAGCAACGCCGCGUGAAGGAGGAAAUCCUUCGGGAUGUAAACUUC